rnacentral:rRNA from 2 species
AAACGACUCUCGGCAACGGAUAUCCCGGCUCUCGCAUCGAUGAAGAACGUAGCGAAAUGCGAUACUUGGUGUGAAUUGCAGAAUCCCGUGAACCAUCGAGUCUUUGAACGCAAGUUGCGCCCGAGGCCAUUAGGCCGAGGGCACGUCUGCCUGGGUGUCACGC